rnacentral:rRNA from 1 species
CGGGACGGGUGAGUAACACGUGAGCAACCUGCCUUUCAGAGGGGGAUAACGUUUGGAAACGAACGCUAAUACCGCAUAACAUACCGGGACCGCAUGAUUCUGGUAUCAAAGGAGCAAUCCGCUGAAAGAUGGGCUCGCGUCCGAUUAGCUAGUUGGCGGGGUAACGGCCCACCAAGGCGACGAUCGGUAGCCGGACUGAGAGGUUGAUCGGCCACAUUGGGACUGAGACACGGCCCAG